AAAUUUGGGCUCAGAAAUAUUGUUUAGGGAGCUGAAAGGAGAAAUAUUUCCUCCUGUCCUCCAACUGUGAUUUCGGGAGCUACUUCCUCGGACACACCAAAAUGAAUGUCUCUUUUCACUGUAAAUAUUUUGCAUUUGCAAGAGCUUUUUAUUUAAUUUAUUUAAUUUUCUUUUCUUACAGCCACCCACAGCACCAAUUUGAAAGCCGUCAUCACUGGGAAGCAAGUUUAAAACCAGCAUAACAAAUCCAAACCUAAGCAGCUUUCCUCAUGUUGCUCGCCACGUUUGAAAUCUGGAAAGCCCUCUCCUCCCACUGUUCCCUCCUGCAAGGUGUUCACAGCUGGUGGUGGGAAAUGGAGCACAUGGGAAGCAAGGGGAAAUCAAACUACUCCAAACGUUUCUUCACUGCCAAUUGCCUUUUCCUUACCUCCCAGACCACUGCUUCAUGGUGGGUAUGAUGCUGGCUUGGUGACCAUCCUGGUGCUGCUCUGCCAGACACAACAGGAUCCACUGCAGCACAGAGGGA
rnacentral:lncRNA from 1 species